CACACCACAGCAACAGAACAUAUGUAGCUGAAGUGAAUUGACUACCCCAGAAAAAGACCUUUAAGACCUGAGAUAAUGCAGAAUUUUAGUGUUCUAGCCUGCUAGAAUGUCAGCCAUCUGCACCUGGUGUUUGAAUGACAAGGCUGUCAUUUAGGAUCUCAAAGCACUCUACAGUCAUUCGUGAAAUGUCUCCAAGCCCCUGUGAAGUACUGUAGAAGGAAGAGUGGAAACCCAGAG